CUAUCCUUUAAAAAAGGCUUUAAUGGGGUUAUCAAACCAGAAGCUCUUGAGGGCAUGACUAAAGAUUCAAGUUCUCCACAGGAUAUCAGUCACUCAAUACUGCUAAUGUUUUCCUAAGGAGAGAUGAGA
ensembl:snoRNA